CGGGCCGGGCGGGCCGCGGCUGCCCCGAGCGGUGCCAUGGUGACCGCGCGGGGACAGCACCGAGCGGCACAGCUCCCGGCACCGGCACAGCUCCCGGGGGACCGGCACAGCUGCCCGGGCACACCCCGGGACCGGCACAGCUCCCGGGGACCGGCACAGCUCCCUGGGCUCCGACACAGCUCCCGGGACCGGCACAGCUCCCCGGGCACACCCCGGGACCGGCACAGCUCCCCGGGCUCCGGCGCAGCUCCCCGGCCCCGGCACCCCCGGGCCUGGGGACCCCCGGCCUGGCCGGGGCAGCGGGGCAGAAGCCGCCGCCGCCCGGGAGCGCCCAGCGGGGUGAGCAGGGCCGGGGUGAAGCCAAUGGACGAGGAAAAGGAAGAAGUUGCCAGUGAGGAAAAAGAUAACAUUCCCCAGGAAGAUCAGAGAAAUAAUACAGAGGAAUGUCUUCCAGAGGCCAAGGAAAAAGAGAAAGAAAGCAAGCAUGUCAUCAAAAAUAUCGCAUGGACCACAGCCAAGAACUUCACAGUGGAGAGAGGACAGCAGCAAAUCGAAGAACUAAUUUCUACAUGGGACAUUCAUGAAAGCUGGCUUUACCACUCAGAAUUUCUCGAGGAAGAAGAACUGAAGAACAGCAAGAGGUACCAUUACAGAGCUUGCUGGGGCCUCCCAACACGUAGGAAACCCAUCCCACGAGCAACAGCAAGUGUGUACUUCAUUAUAGUGAUCUCCAAAUUCAAACCUGACCUAUGGAUCCCCAAAUAUGAUUCUGUGGUUUAACCUCCAGCUGACUGCACCUGUCGAGGUGUUCUACAGACUGGAGUCCAGCAGGCUGAUUCGGAGGCCAGAACAGUGUCAGUUUAGAGAAAAGUGGCUUCAGGACAUCAUUGAAAAUAAAAUAAUGUGUGCAGAAAGACUUGCUUCCCGAUGAGCAGCUCCAAUUCACCAUUACCAAUACUCUGCUGUGGAGAACCAAAUAAACAUGAUGAAGGA